rnacentral:rRNA from 1 species
AGCCAUGCAUGCCCGUGAAGAGGGGAACGGCGAACGGCUCAGUAAUGCUGCGACGAUCUGCUCUCUGCGGGCGAUAACCACGGGAAACUGUGGCUAAGAGCGGAGAUUGAGACGCAGUCCUAUCAGCUUGUUGGUAGUGUAACGGACUACCAAGGCGGCGACGGGUGACGGGAGAUGGGGGUCUUAUUCCGGAGAGGGAGCCUGAGAGAUGGCUCCCACGUCCAAGGACGGCAGCAGGCGCGGAAAUUGCCCACUCUUGGCGAGGAGGCGGUUACGAGACGUGCUUCGAAGGGCGCACAGCAAAGACGUGCGCGAAGGCGAUUGGAGGGCAAGUUCGGUGCCAGCAGCCGCGGUAAUACCGACUCCGAGAGUGUCUACGGUGGAUGCUGCAGUUAAAAGGUCCGUAGUCUGGGCUGCGACGAAAGGGUGCUGUUCGAAGGCGCAUGCGUUGCAAUGGCUGGCGGAGCGGACAGGGGGCGCGGUAUGGGCGGGCGAGAGAUGAAAUGCCAAGACCCCGCCCGGACCGACGGCGGCGAAGGCGGCGCCCUUGGACGCCUCUGGGGAUCAAGGACGAAGGCUGGAGGAUCGAAAGUGAUUAGAGACCGCUGUAGUUCCAGCAGUAAACGAUGCCGACACCGCGUGGCGGACGCCGCGCGGGGGCGAAAGCUUAGUGUGCGGGCUCUGGGGAUAGUAUGCUCGCAAGUGUGAAAAUUGAAGAAAUU